UACAGAGGGGGCAAGCGUUGUUCGGAAUUACUGGGCGUAAAGGGCGCGUAGGCGGCCCGCUAAGUCGAACGUGAAAUCCCUGAGCUCAACUCGGGAACUGCGUCCGAUACUGGCGGGCUUGAAUCCGGGAGAGGGAUGCGGAAUUCCAGGUGUAGCGGUGAAAUGCGUAGAUAUCUGGAGGAACACCGGUGGCGAAGGCGGCAUCCUGGACCGGCAUUGACGCUGAGGCGCGAAAGCUAGGGGAGCAAACGGGG
rnacentral:rRNA from 1 species